GAUGAACGCUGGCGGCAUGCCUAAUACAUGCAAGUCGAACGAAAGGCUUCGGCCUUUAGUGGCGAACGGGUGAGUAACACGUAGAUAACCUGCCCUCAAGACUGGGAUAACCGAUGGAAACGUCCGCUAAUACCGGAUAGGUAAUCGAAAGGCAUCUUUCGAUUAUUAAAGAUGGGACACAUCGCUUGAGGAUGGAUCUGCGCUGCAUUAGCUAGUUGGUGGGUAACGGCCACCAAGGCGAUGAUGCAUAGCCGGCCUGAGAGGGUGAACGGCCACAUUGGGACUGAGACACGGCCCAGACUCCUACGGAGGCAGCAGUGGGAAUAUUGCACAAUGGGCGCAAGCCUGAUGCAGCAACGCCGCGUGAGGGAAGACGGUUUUCGGAUUGUAAACCUUUGCUUGGUNAAGAAGAAAGUGACGGUAGCCAAGG
rnacentral:rRNA from 1 species